GUUGCUGCUGAGCGGUGGAAAAGAAUUCUACAUACAAUUAAAAUGACCACCUCCUGGAGUGAUCGGUUACAGAAUGCAGCAGAUAUGCCUACAAAUAUGGAUAAGCAUGCUGUAAAAAUGUAUCGGUGAGAAGCCUAUCAUUGGGUGUUUGUGAACCAAAGUUUAGCCAUGGAAAAAAUAAAGUGUUCUGGUUUUGAUAUGGAGUGUACCCUCGCUGUGUACAAGUCCCCGGAGUAUGAGUCUAUGGAGAGACUUGUUUCUGUUGGGUAUCCCCAGGAACUGCUCAGCUUCACUUAGGAUUCUACAUUCCCUACCAGAGGACUUGUCUUUGAUACACUAUAUGGAAAUCUUUUGAAAGUUGAUGCUUAUGGCAACCUCUUGGUCUGUGCACAUGGAUUUGACUUCAUAAGAGAUCCAGAAACUAGAGAACAAUAUCCAAACAAAUUUACCCAAUGAGAUGACACUGAAAGAUUUUACAUUCUAAACACAUUAUUCAACCUGCCAGAAACCUACUUGUUGGCCUAAUAGAUUUUUUUUUUACUAAUUGUCCUAGAUAUACCAGCCGUGAGACAAGAUUUAAAGACGGUACCUGUUUUCAUGUCCUACUGGAGUAUACUGCGGGAUAUAAGAGAUGCUGUUGACUGGGUCCAUUACAAGGGCUUCCUUAAGGAAAAGACAGUUGAAAAUCUUGAAAAGUAUGUAGUCAAAGAUGGAAAACUGCCUUUGCUUCUGAGCCAGAUGAAGGAAGCAGGCAAAGUAUUUCUUGCUACCAACAGCGACUAUAAGUAUACAGAUAAAAUUAUGACUUACCUGUUUGACUUCCCACAUGGCCCCAAGCCCAGGAGCACUCAUAGGCUGCGGCAGUCCUAUUUUGACCUGACCAUAGUGGAUGCACGGAAACCACUCUUCUUUGGAGAAGGCACAGUACUGUGGCAAGUGGACACAAAAACUGGCAAGCUGAAGAUUGGCACCUACACAGGCCCCCUGCAGUACGGCUACUCAGGCAGUCAUCUGAUACAAUCUGUGAUCUGUUGGGAGCUAAAGAGACAUUUUAUAUAUUGGAGAUCACAUUUUUGGAGAUAUUUUAAAAUCAAAGAAAUGGCAAGGGUGGUGAACUUUCCUGGUCAUUCCUGAACUCACACAGAAGCUGCAUGUCUGGACUGACAAGAGUUCACUUUUUGAAGAACUUCAGAGCUUGGACAUUUUCCUGGCUGAACUCUACAAGCACCUUGACAACAGUAGCAAUGAGCGCCCAGACAUAAAUUCCAUCCAGAGAUGGAUUAAGAAAGUCAUGCACGACAUGGAUAUGUGCUAUAGGAUAAUGGGGAGCCUCUUUCGCAGUGGCUGCCAGCAGACACUUUUUGCCAGUCAAAUGAUGUGCUAUGUUGAUUUCUAUGCUGCGUCCUUCAACAACCUGCUAUAUGAUCCAUUCAGCUACCUCUUCAGAGCUGCCCAUGGCCUGAUGCCGCAUGAGUCUACCAUGGAGCACACAUGUGGACAUUGAUGAGAUGGAGUUGCCCCUUUCUGCAUGCAACCGCACCUCCGUGGAUUUCAAGGACACCGACUACAAGUGGCAACAGCUGAGGAGGUCCAGCAGUGAGAUCAAACCCCCCAACCUCUUCCCACUGUCCCCCCCCAAAAAAAACUGCACACUGCCAUAAUAAAGAUGAUAAUUGAGGAGGAGGAAGAGGAGAAGAUUGAGGAAAACCUGAGCCUGAGCAUCCAAGCAGCAGGCGCCAGCAGAACUCCGGGAGCAAAGGCUGUCCUCAGGGUUCUCUCAGAGUGUGGGGAGCUCCUUCAGAAGUACAUCUGCAAAGGUUUUGAACUUUAA